GAUGAACGCUAGCGGCAGGCCUAAUACAUGCAAGUCGAACGGUGUCUUCGGACAUAGUGGCGCACGGGUGCGUAACACGUAUGCAACCUACCUUACCUUGGGGGAUAGCCUUUCGAAAGGGAGAUUAAUACCGCAUAAGACAGUAGCUGGGCAUACAGCAGCUGUUAAAGAUUUAUCGAUGUAAGCUGGGCAUGCGUCCAAUUAGCUAGUUGGUGAGGUAACGGCUCACAAAGGCAAUGAUUGGGAGGGGAACUGAGAGGUCAACCCCCCACACUGGCACUGAGAUACGGGCCAGACUCCUACGGGAGGCAGCAGUAGGGAAUAUUGGGCAAUGGACGCAAGUCUGACCCAGCCAUGCCGCGUGCAGGAUGAAGGCGUUAUGCGUUGUAAACUGCUUUUAUACAGGGAGAAACGACUCUUGCGAGAGGCAUGACGGUACUGUAUGAAUAAGCACCGGCUAACUCCGUGCCAGCAGCCGCCGUAAGAC
rnacentral:rRNA from 1 species